rnacentral:rRNA from 1 species
GACGGGGGGGGCAAGUGUUCUUCGGAAUGACUGGGCGUAAAGCGCACGUAGGCGGCUUUGUAAGUUAGAGGUGAAAGCCCAGGGCUUAACCCUGGAAUUGCCUUUAAGACUGCAUCGCUAGAAUCGUGGAGAGGUGAGUGGAAUUCCGAGUGUAGAGGUGAAAUUCGUAGAUAUUCGGAAGAACACCAGUGGCGAAGGCGACUCACUGGACACGUAUUGACGCUGAGGUGCGAAAGCGUGGGGAGCAAACAGG